rnacentral:sRNA from 1 species
UCUUUCUGCCGUGUGACUGGCGUUUCCUCCCUAAACUUUGGCCCGCUGCGCUGAUGCGCGCGGGCCUUUUUUUUAUGUGCG